rnacentral:misc_RNA from 1 species
KRGACAAGCAUAUGACUACUGGCAGGAUCAACCAGGUAGCAUUCCUUCGCGACGCCGACACCCGCAUGAAGCCGACGAGCCGUACGGCCGUGGGCUCAAGACGAGCUCGACAGUCGUUCGCGUCGAUGGACGAAUGCGUUGCUUGGGCGAGCAGAGCCUACAGACCCCGCACCCACGCAUAACAUUCUGCAUCCGAGAGGACGGGCAGAGCACCUCGUGGGCCGAGGCAGCCACACAAACGAGCGAGGCAUGCCGGGAACACGAGGCUUGCCUGACGUCCACCCCACAACCCGCGAUGGCGUGGGGCGGAGAGGGACAAACAAAACCAUCGAAUCCUUCC